GUAGGCAUAGUUUAAUAAAAACAUUAGAUUGUGAUUCUAAAAAUAAAGGAUAAAAACCUUUUACCUGCC
rnacentral:tRNA from 1 species